ACUCAUUUAUUCAAAUUGUGAAAGUAAAAUGACACGUGAAAGACUUUUUUUUAUGUAUAAUAAUAAUUUACAUUGUUUUUUGCUUUUCAUAGCACAAACUGAUUUAUUACAUGAAACAGUCCAAAAAUAGCUGGGUCGUCUGGGACGCAAAUGCAGGUUUACGACAGCAUCAUUGGUUUAAAUCCUUGUGUGUGUAUAUAUAUGAUUAUUUUGAUUAUUUGUUUUGCUUAUAGGAGAAUAAAAGCAAUAAAACAUCUUAUCAGGCCCUUCUUGCACAAGUUUGUCUUUCGGGGGAGUUUGAGUUUGCUGGAUUAUUAAUUAAAAAUAAUGAAUAAUUUGUGGCUGUCUGAUUGGUCCAGAUUCUACAAUGGUGUAAAUCCACAAAGCCUCUUAACUUUUCAUGCAUACAGACAUAAGCGCCGAUCCUGUGAGCACCCACAGAAAUGGUUGAGCACCCACAGAAAAUGAGAUAUUCUCCAUUGAUUUUUGACAGUCUAUGAUUUAACCAAUGAAAAUUGAUUGCAGCUUUCAGACAUGACUAUGUUCAUCUUUUUAUAGUUUAUUUGAGGCCGUUUCUAUUGUGCUAUUUUAAUGAAAAAUGCCAAGUAAUACGUGAGCACAAAUCUUUCAGCUCACAGGCGGAUCUCCUUCACUCUCGCUAUCAACUGGACACGCGCUCAAACUCUCUUCUCGCUCUUUCUCUAGAAUGGUCUUUUUAUUGUAAGUGGCGUGCUUAUUCUAAAUAGGUAUUUAUUGAUUUUUUUUUUUGUUUAUUAUUUAGUGAGCUGCUACUGAUCAUCAGAUAUCAGUGAGAGUGCAACUCGCGGCAACACUCAUGGAAAGAAUGUGUGUAAUUUGCAGGUGGUACAUGUCCCCACCAUUAUUGGCUAUCCUAUUUUGCUGCACGGAUAGCCUAUAAUGCAAAUGAAACACCAGUUGAUGUUCAUUUGUGUUAAAUAAGAAGCGAUCUGGUGCUGGAAUGUGUUGUUUAAAUCAUGCCGCUGUUAUCAGUGGCGGAUCGUCUUCACACAGACGAGCACGUCAAUCUAUCUCUAAUGGUGUUGUGGAAACUCUAUUCUUUGCAGUGAAAUCAUUAACAAAAUGCACACAAACGUGUCCCUGCUCUUGUCUCUUUAUAUACAUCAUAUAUCAUAUAUAUCAUUAACGAAUAUCUUUGGUGUUAUUGAGAAAGAAAAAAAACUAAUCAAGGGCGGAUUAGAACCACUGAUGAUUAAAACCCAGUACGUUUGACUCGCAUGGCAAAAGUUCUGCCACUAGACCAUAUGUGGAUAUCAAUGUUUAGCAUAGGUCUGUGUAUAUAUGCACUGGGCACCCACCGGCAGAAACAUAAAUCGGCGCCUAUGCAUACAGACACAAGUGUCAGUGAUUUUAAAAAAAAAAAAAAAAAAAAAAAAAAAAAAAAAAAAAACUAAAAUAGCAGAAUAUAAUAAAGACAUGUUAUUAUUUUAUGUCUGUACAGUAGCAUUAGAACAUUAAAAUAUGUACGUCAAAUUGAACCACAAACAUUACCAAAGUAACAAAUUUAGUGCGUAUAUUUCAAAACACAUCAGCGUGUUGAAACUUUGCAUGCAUGUUCAUGACCUUAAAUGAGGAAAAAGUCAUAGAAUUUCAAGAAAAAACAAAACAUAACUGAUGUUUCCUACAACUCAAAAAAACAAAAUAGGCCAAAUUGACCUGCAACAGUACACAAGGGUUAAAAUUAUUAUUCACAACUAAUCGAUCGUCUAUUAAUCGUCAGCAUCCCUAGUAUUAAGAUUCAAUCCUAUGUAAACUUCUGAACAGGAUCAUUUUUAUAAAUUCAGCCAUUAUUUUGUCUAGUGGACUAUAUGUAAACAUGUCUUAUGUGAGAUAGCAUAGGACAGUACUAAAUAUGAAAUAACAUCAAUCCCUCUCCACAUUUUUACAAAUUCUGCAGGGGUAUGUAAACUUUUGAGCACAAGUUGCACAACUGUACAUUAUCUCAUACUUUUAUUGCAGUACUGUAUUUUGUUAGUUUUGCAUUAUCAUUUGAGUAAUAUUUGAAAAUGUUUAAUGUCCAAUACAGGUGAAAUUAAUCGACCAUACGAGAUGUCCCAGGAGAAAUUUGAAGAUCUCAGUGAGAAACUGCACCAAAGCAUUGAGAAACUGAACUCAGAAUACAACAGAAAUCAUCUAACUCUCACAGAUCUAAUAAAGAAACUGAAUGACAUCACUGAUGAACUCGAAUCCAUGCACAAGAACACCACGAUGGGCAGUAUGGUAGGGGCGUCAAUAGGAGCAGUAGGAGGAAUUGCAUUGCUGGGUAUAGCUUUGGCCCCAUUUACAUUUGGUGCGUCUAUAGCUGUUACUGGUGCUACUGGUCUUACUGCUAUGGGUGUUGGAGUAGCUGGAGGAGUAAUAGGGGCAGCAUCUAACAUCACUAACAUGUUCAAGCAGAGCAACAUGCGCCAGACUAUUGAGAAGAUCAUCAAUGAUUUCCAGAACACCAUCAACCCAAUGAUUCAGCAUCUGAAUACAAUUUCUGAAACCAUAGAAAAGCUUGAGAAAAUCGAGCCAAUGCAUUCUCUUCAAAAUAAAGCAUUAGUGACAAGUGUGAAAGCCCUGAAAACCAUUUCAAGCGUUAAAAAACUUUUGUCUGUACUUCGAACUACUAAAAUUGGGAAAGUGUUCGCAAGAGCUACCAAAACACUUCAAGUGGUUGGGAAACUAUCUAUGACAAUUUCAGCUCUGUUUUUUGUUCUUGAUGUUUACACUAUUUAUUGUAAUUCAACAGAGCUCUCUGAAAUGAAAUCAGACAAAAAGAGAAAAGCAGAAGAAAUCAAAUCAGAAACUGUGAAAUUUAUUCAUCAAAUGAGAGAAACAGCAGCUCAAUUUCAGAAGACUCUGGAUGAAACUAAAUGUGCCAGAGACGCUAUUAACAGAGCUUCACAAAUCAGUCAAGAAGAUCAUUGAACUGCUCUGUGUGGUGUUGUCAAUUUACUGACUCUUUAAACUGAAAUCUUUAAAAACUUGGCAACAAAAUAAGGUUGAAUAUAUAUGUUUUUCAAUUAUUUUGUAACAUGUGACUAAUUAUUGUAGUCUUAAUAAUCCUUGUCUUUUUUCUUCUUUUUUUCUGGUUCUGUAUGAAAUUGGAUAAACUAUUUGCAAACAGUCUUUGUAUAAGCCACUUGCACUCGGGUUUAGAUCUGGUUAUAUCUUAUGACAUUCUAUGGACAACCAUUUUAUUUGCUGUUUUUGUUGUGCAUGUUACUGAUUUGUAAUGUAAAAACCAAAAUAAAAAAUCUAAUCUCAACCAA